rnacentral:lncRNA from 1 species
CUACUGCUCAAAGAGAGGGUUUGGCUAUGGUGAGGGAGAAUCUAUCUACAUGACAGGACAUUGACCAGGCACAGAGGCUUCUGGGUCGAGAAAGGCCAAGUUGCACACUACUGAGAGACUGCCAUGCACCCCCUGGAGGCCUCAGAACAUUCGACAUGCUCCAGUCAUGGCCACGGCAGUGACUGCUGAUUGCCUAACCCCACAUGUGUUCUCCCCCUUCCCUGAUAAUCAAGCCCCUGAUUUUCAGCUGGGCACAAAAUAAUUCUUCCUAGAACAACUCCACGUGUGUUAUCGCCCUUGCAGCUGGGGGUGGCCACCACUGGGGAGAGGCAGGGUGAAGAGGUCGAAGGAGCCUGAGUUAGCAGGGAUGAGCAGUGGCCAGGUAACCCCAGACCCAUUAUCCUCUGGAUUUCUUUUAUGUGAAACAAUAAAAUGUCUUGUAUUCGA